GCCCACUUAGCUCAGAGGUUAGAGCAUCG
rnacentral:tRNA from 1 species